rnacentral:rRNA from 1 species
GACGAACGCUGGCGGCGUGCUUAACACAUGCAAGUCGAACGGAAAGGCCCUGCUUUUGUGGGGUGCUCGAGUGGCGAACGGGUGAGUAACACGUGAGUAACCUGCACUUGACUUUGGGAUAACUUCAGGAAAAUGGGGCUAAUAACGGAUAGGAGCUCCUGCUGCAUGGUGGGGGUUGGAAAGUUUCGGCGGUUGGGGAUGGACUCGCGGCUUAUCAGCUUGUUGGUGGGGUAGUGGCUUACCAAGGCUUUGACGGGUAGCCGGCCUGAGAGGGUGACCGGCCACAUUGGGACUGAGAUACGGCCCAGACUCCUACGGGAGGCAGCGGUGGCGAAUAUUGCACAAUGGGCGGAAGCCUGAUGCAGCAACGCCGCGUGCGAGAUGACGGCCUUCGGGUUGUAAACCGCUUUCGCCUGUGACGAAGCGUGAGUGACGGUAAUGGGUAAAGAAGCACCGGCUAACUACGUG